rnacentral:rRNA from 1 species
CAGUCGCCGCGGUAAUACGAUGGGGGCUAGCGUUGCUCGGAAUGACUGGGCGUAAAGGGCGCGUAGGUGGUGGUUUAAGUCCGUUGUGAAAGCCCUGGGCUCAACCUGGGAAUUGCAGUGGAUACUGGGUCACUAGAGUGUGGUAGAGGAUAGUGGAAUUUCCGGUGUAGCAGUGAAAUGCGUAGAGAUCGGAAGGAACAUCUGUGGCGAAGGCGACUAUCUGGGCCAACACUGACACUGAGGCACGAAAGCGUGGGGAGCAAACAGGAUUAGAUACCCCGGUAGUCCCUGUCUCUUAUAC